GGGGUGGUGGCGCAGUUGGCUAGCGCGUAGGUCUCAUAAUCCUGAGGUCGAGAGUUCGAGCCUCUCUCGCCCCA